GUGGCUGUGUAAUCUUAUCAUUUGAGUGCUUGCUGUUAUCAGACACCCGCUGUUAUCGUCAAUAAGUUGAUGGAUUUUGGGUGAUUUUUAACCUGAAGUCACAUUCUGCUGUCAAGUCAAACUUUCCUCUAAUCUGUGAAAGACUAAUGUAGCUAUGUAAUUAUUGAAUUCUUGCACCAAGUCCUCAGUAUCGCCUUUUUGGAUCAAAACCUCAGGCCUCAAGGUAUCUGUAUGGAUUCAGCAAUGACUGAUGGCAGCAGGCGUUUCUCUCCUCCGUCGCCAAAAUGCCGAACAGGAGUAUAAGGCACUAACGCUAAAACUUGAAUCGCAGCUGUACUGGGACAUCCUUAAGAUUUACACGGAGUCUGUUUUCUGUGAUGUAGAGAUUCAGUUCGAAAGUUCCUCUAUCAAAACACAUUCCAGCUUCCUAUCGCUGUAUGCGCCUCAAUUCUUUGCGGAACUUCAGAAAUUGCAACAAACCCAGAAUCCCGUUUUUCUAAACAAAGCUAAAGACCACAUCGAAACCUUCAUUAGGUCUCUAUAUCAACCACCAAAAUCCUGUUUAAAAGAGAAAGAGCAGAAACUCAUCAAAUGUCUUCCUUUUCUUCUAAAAUCAAAUGGUGACAAGAGUCGAGACCUGUACUUAACUCCGGACUCAACUAAUGAGCCGGAAAGCGACCAUGACAAUUCCCACAGCCACUUAGUGCCAUCUUAUUUCAGUACAAACCAACUCUACUACGCUCUCAUCACCCUUGAUGAAUCUUUCAUAAACGAUUCGGGUGUAGAGCAACUCGAGAAGGAACUUAGUGAGCAGGACCAGCUGUCCCAAUCACUCUUGUCACUCAAAGAAAGCACCAUCAGGAAGACUGUUCCAGAAAUCAAAAGCAGCAAGGAAAACUCCCUUUCCAAAAGAAGUGGGAGUAAAGCCAGACGGCUGCCAUCCAGGAUCAAUGAUGAAAUGAGCGAUUCCGAAAAGGUGUGCAAGAAAGACUGUUGUUACGGUGAAGUUAUGAGCAAGUCUGUCCUUAAAGAAGCAAGUCAGUCAACACUCAACUCAGAAACCUCGGGAAUCGGGUCUUCUGAGCUAGCUGGUUUCUCCUAUGAUCCUGACAGUGAUGCAAGUUCCUCAGGAAAUGGACUGCAACCUUCAGAAAACAAUACGUCGCAGAAAAAUCCUGUUUACCACCAAACUAGCACAUCCCACUUUAUCAAUGCACCUAAUGGAGGUGGGAACCAGACUUAUUCAUCCACCGAUUUUACUACAUUUGUCAUUGACACCAGCGGAAAGAACUGCAGAGACAAUGAGGCUGCUGCCAUAAAUAACCAUAACCCAAAAAUUAACCAUGACGCGGCAAAAAAUCUGGGAAAUAACCUCUGCGAUACAUCGGAAAACUCCACCAAAGCUGCCAAAAGUGAGUGGAAUGACAAGGUCCUAUCCAACGACAGAAAUCGAAUGAGUGUGAGUGUUUGUGUUGCAAGCAAUGGAGUCAUCAGUAACUCCAAAAAAAGCAAUGUAUCAAACUCAGCACUUGUCGAGUCAUGUUCUGUUUACGAUUGGGUUGAUUCAAGAUCUUGGGAUGUUGUGAAUGACGACGAACGAGACAUAAAAAGCAGGGAACAGAAGACACAGCUGCUAAAAAGUUUUUCAGAUGAAAUUAGUAGUAAGAUUAAUAAGCUUGAGCUAAAACCUAAAAGCGCUAGUGCUCGAAACGGUUCAUGCCUGCCAUCAAAAACAAAUACAAGCAGUGCAAAUAAUUGCGAUGCGCAGCAACCUACCUCAAGUACUCUGGUCAGCAUUUAUGAAGAUUCUUUGGAAGCCUCACAAAAGUGUAGUCCAGAAGAUAAUAUUCAGAAGACUUCUGCUCCCAAGAACAACUUCUUCAUUGAUGCUUCCAGUUUGUUGGAUGAUAAUGAACUAGAUCAACCAUCAUAUAGCAGCUUUUUACCAAAUCAAACAGAAUACCGCCAUACAGACCAUUUUGAUCAAAACAAAUCUAAUAAUCCAAGCUCUGAAGCUCAGUUAAACUCCAGCCAAUCAAAGGAACCCAAAACGAGUACAAAAGUCUCUGAACCCCAGACUGAAAUGCCAAGAUUGAUACGGCAAAAAACAUUUGAGCUCGAAUCAAGUGAAGAAAAACUUGCCAUCUUGCGGAAAGAGUAUGAAAAACAACUGGGUGACAAAGUAUUCAACGAGAAUCGGACCAUGAGCGAAUCACAAAAUGGAUUGAAUGAGAGCUCAAAGUCGGAGUUUCCAGCUGCCUGUUUCAAGAAUGAAGUUCCAUCUUUAAAUUCACCGGACUCUUUAAACAACGAUGAUCAACCUGAAGAAAACUUCCAGCGCAAAGAGUUUGUCGAAGAUUCCUUGAAUGUAAGUGCAAACAAGGCACUUCCAAAAAGUUGCUCAGAUGAGCCCAGUGCAACGAGCACACCUCAAUCCUCUCCAAAAUCUACGUGGAGCAAGGAAGUGGUGGGAUGUAACGGUGAAAAUGAUAGCUUUGUCAGCCCUAAGAGCGACAAAAGUAAGGUGAAUAGUCAUGAAUCCAUACCGAUUGUGUCAGGAGGGAUUGAAGUUAAGGACAUGUCAAAUCCAAUUAGUCUUGGGCACUCGAGUAACGCAAGUCCAUCUAUGUCUCGAAAAAUUGAAUCAUCACCUAUCUUGUCAAGUGGAGCUGUCAGCAUGGAGGCAGAGCCAAAGGUGCGUAAAAAGCGGAUUAAUCCACUAAAUAGCGAGUCUUGGAUCAUCGAUUUAAGUGAUGUUUCAAAGUCAUCAAACACUUCAAGAUUUGAUGAUUCAGAAGAUGCAUCAACCCCACCGCGAUCUGCAAAGUCAUCGUCUUCAGGUCAAGUUUCUUCAUUGAUCUUAAUGAGCUCUCUAAAGACCAAGAUAGUUCUCAAAGUCCAAAGCCUGUGAGUCAAUUGAAACUUCUUAAGAACAGUCGGAAAGAGUUCCAGAAAGUGUUGAAUGUUGAGAAGACGAAAGUCGAUCAGAAUCUGCAAACGAGAAGUUGUGGUUUUUUUGUUAACCUGAACGAUGAGCCUUUGACCGUACCGCAAAGCUGUGCAAAAA
rnacentral:lncRNA from 1 species